rnacentral:rRNA from 1 species
GAUGAACGCUGGCGGCGUGCCUAAUACAUGCAAGUCGAGCGAACGGACGAGAAGCUUGCUUCUCUGAUGUUAGCGGCGGACGGGUGAGUAACACGUGGAUAACCUACCUAUAAGACUGGGAUAACUUCGGGAAACCGGAGCUAAUACCGGAUAAUAUCUUGAACCGCAUGGUUCAAAAGUGAAAGACGGUCUUGCUGUCACUUAUAGUUAGAUCCGCUCUGCAUUAGCUAGUUGGUAAGGUAACGGCUUACCAAGGCAACGAUGCAUAGCCGACCUGAGAGGGUGACCGGCCAAACGGGAACGGGGACACGGUCCAGACUCCUACGGGAGGCAGCAGUAGGGAAUCUUCCGAAAUGGGCGAAAGCCUGACGGAGCAACGCCGCGUGAGUGAUGAAGGUCUUCGGAUCGUAAAACUCUGUGAUUAGGGAAGAAGAUAUGUGUAAGUAACUGUGCACAUCUUGACGGUACCUGAUCAGAAAGCCACGGCUAACUACGUG